AAAAGACUCUCAGCAGACCCAGACCCAGAGUCGGUAAAGGAGCAGUGAAGACCAUUAGCUAGCUCAUGGAAACUGUAAUAAGGUUCCUUUUCUGUGUGAUAAAUUUAUGUGUGAGCUUCAAGAAUCCCAAUUCCUGCUAUGAUCAAUCCAAGCUAGAGGCAAAACAUAAGGCCUUGUUUGUCUUUGGGGAUUCACUUUUUGAUCCAGGGAAUAAUCAAUACCUCAAUGGUAGUACUGGAGAAGGCAUAUCAGCAACAUACUGGCCAUAUGGUCAGACCUUCUUCAACCACCCUACAGGGAGGCUUUCCGAUGGCCGUAUAGUUCCUGAUUUUAUCGCCCAGUUCGCCGAUUUACCUAUACUUCCACCCUAUAUGGAACCUGGGGCUCAUCGGUUAGCUGAUGGGAUUAACUUUGCUUCAGCUGGAGCUGGUGUUCUUGACGGAACUCAUCCUGGAACAAUACAACUAAGAAUGCAGCUAGAGUACUUUAAGACAUUGAAAAAGUCAUUGAGGCAGCAACUACAUGAUGCAGAAGCAGAGAAGGUCCUGAGGAGAGCUGUUUACCUGUUUAGUAUCGGAGGCAAUGAUUAUUUUAGCUUCUAUACCUCAAACCCUGAGGCCAGCGAAUCCUACCAACAAGCAUAUGUAGAAAUGGUGAUUGGCAACCUGACAUUGGUGCUCAAAGAAUUUUAUAGCCUAGGAGCAAGAAAAAUUGCAUUUCAAAAUGUAGGGCCUUUGGGUUGCGUACCUGUAAUGGAAGCAAUGAGUCCUGAGCUUGGCAGCAGCUGCGUUGAAAUACCAUUAGCAUUAGCAAGGUUACACAAUGAAUACCUCUCCGUCACUCUUAACAACUUAGAAAGCCAGUUACCAGGAUUCAAAUAUGCAAUCUUUGAUUACUACAAUUCACUUGGGGAUAGAGUGAAUAAUCCCUCAAAAUAUGGUUUCAAGGAGGGGAAGGUUGCCUGUUGUGGCAGUGGAACAUACAGGGAAAGUGGAUGUGGAGGAAGAGAAGGGAAAGAACCAUAUGAAUUAUGCCGUAAACCAAGUGAGUAUGUGUGGUUUGAUGGUGCUCAUACUACUGAAAUGACCAACCACCAAUUAGCUGAGCUACUAUGGAGUGGAAAACCAAAUGUCACAGGGCCUUACAAUGUGAAACAGCUAUUUGGACACUGAUUUUUUAAGAAAUCUCUGUGGUAUAUUUAGACUCCUAUGAUGAUGUUGUUUUCUUUCCCAGAAGAAUAGAGACAAUCACUUCUUCUGGGAAAGAAAAUUGAUACUGUUAUUUGGCUUAUAUCCAAC
rnacentral:misc_RNA from 1 species